rnacentral:rRNA from 1 species
ACGAACGCUGGCGGCGUGCUUAACACAUGCAAGUCGAACGGAAAGGCCCUGCUUGCAGGGUCCUCGAGUGGCGAACGGGUGAGUAACACGUGGGUGAUCUGCCCUGCACUUCGGGAUAAGCCUGGGAAACUGGGUCUAAUACCGGAUAGGAGCCAUUUUUAGUGUGUUGGUUGGAAAGUUUUUUCGGUGUAGGAUGAGCUCGCGGCCUAUCAGCUUGUUGGUGGGGUAAUGGCCUACCAAGGCGGCGACGGGUAGCCGGCCUGAGAGGGUGGACGGACACAUUGGGACUGAGAUACGGCCCAGACUCCUACGGGAGGCAGCAGUGGGGAAUAUUGCACAAUGGGCGCAAGCCUGAUGCAGCGACGCCGCGUGGGGGAUGACGGCCUUCGGGUUGUAAACUCCUUUCGCUAGGGACGAAGCUUUUUGUGACGGUACCUAGAUAAGAAGCACCGGCUAACUACGUG